rnacentral:lncRNA from 1 species
AUGGAAGAAUCAUUAAGCGUUUGAAGCUGGUUUCCUGAAGGAAUUCUUCCAGACAAGUUGUUGUAAGACAAGUUCAAGUGGUUUAAAAAAGUUAAAGAUGACAAGCUUUGAGGAAUUUGUCCUGAAAGGUGGUUGUGUGAAAGAUCAAGAGUUUCAAGCAAGUGCAAGUUUCCGAUGUUGAAUGGGAUCUUUCACGUUAAUUGAUUCCUGGAUAAGUUCAAGGUACCGAAUUGAAUGAGGCUACUUAUUUCUUCAGGGAUUUCACCUUGUAAAUUAUUUGAUGAAAGAUCAAUGCUCUUUACAAGAUUUAUAGUCUUGUUGUACACAAGUUCUCUUCCUUUUAGUGUCAGUGUGAUUUGCUCAAUAGCACCAAUAGUGUCUGCAUUUAAAUCGUCCACCAGCGAAGCCAAAUUAUCCAGACACUUGGGAAUAGUACCUGAAAGGUUGUUGUGACUAAGGUCAAGGAUAUGAAGAUGUCGAAGAUUGCACAGUUGCUGGGAUAGAUGUCCACUAAAAGAGUUGGACCGUAAUUGUAUCCAGUACAACACGGAUACAUUUGGUCCUCCUAUCCAUAGAGGUAUGUUACCAUAUAACUUGUUGUCUCCGAGAUCUAGACUUCUCAAAAUAGAACAAUUUCGCAACGAAUUAGGAAUUUCACCCCCAAAAUUGUUGUUGUUGAGCUUUAAUACUUGCAGUGAACUUAAUACCCCCAAUGAAGUGGGAAUAUUACCAGAGAGAUUGUUCAGACCAACAUCUAGAAACCACAGUUUGCUCCCCACAUUCCAUGCACGAGGCAAUUCUCCAUAAAAUUGAUUGCUCCUUAGAGACAAGACUCCCAAUUGCUGCAUGUUGCAAACGGAGGGAGGAAUAGUGCCAGUCAAAUGAUUCUCAGAAAGUAACAAGGCAUCCAAAUUGGGCAUCAUUUGGUCAAUAUUAGAGGGAAUUGGCCCGAAAAAUAGAUUGCUUUCGAGAUCAAGCUUCUGCAAACUUUUAAACAAUCCUAAGGAGGCAGGCAGUUGGCUUUCCAGCUCACAAUAAGACAAAUCUAGGGACUCUAAUGCUAUAUUUGGACAAUUCGAGAAACUCCUCCAAAACUCUUCAAUACCCCCUUUAAAUUCGUUUUGAGAAAGGCUUAAGACCUUUAGCUUGCACAAAUUUCCAAUGACUUUUGGAAAAUUACCAUUGAAAUGAUUCCCAGAUAUAUCAAGUGUUAUGAGGCUGGUGAGAUUAAAAAGCCAGCUGGGAAAUGAAGAACUAAACAUAUUAUCUGACACAUCAAGUACCAAAAGUGAUGUCAAAUUAAUGUGUCGCAGUGAGAUGAGUGGAAUGAUUUCAAUUCGGCAAAAAGAUAAGAGUAACUCUGCUAAUGAAGGAAGCAUAUUAACAGCAUACACCCAAUUGACUGCUUUGGUGCUAAGAUCCACCGAUCCGAGAUCAAGGUAUUUAAGAGAAGAAAGGCGAGACAGCCAAUUCAACUUUCUGGAAGUUAAGCCAAUAUUCCACCCAAGAUCAAGAAAAUUGAGGCUUGACAGAUUACCAAGAGAAGGGGGAAUCUCUCCUCCAAAUGACGCAGAGGAGAGAUUGAGAUAUUGCAAACUUUUAAGCUCCCCGAAGAAGUUAGGAACUUGAAUGCUAUAAAAAUCAUUAUUGCUUAGGUCCAGGUAAUUUAAAUGUUUCAAGCUCAACAGAGAAGCAUUUAUCUUACCUCCCAAGCGAAACUUUUCAUACAUGUCCCGCUCUUCAUACGGAUUCCGGAGGUCCAUCUUCACCACAUGACCGGUCCGGUUGUUGCAUGAAACACCUUUCCAUUGACAGCAAUCGUGACCUACCCAAGAGGAAAGCCUGCCAGAAGGAUCAACAAGAUGUUGUUUAAAGAUGAGAAGCGCUUGUCUUUCUUUGUCGAUGCAUGGAUUUGUUUUCACACUGCUUGAAAGUGCACCACCGGCCAAACAGAAACAGGUUUUAGUAGUACUCUGCAUGUAGGAAGAGGUCAAAAGAACAAGAAGGAAAUAGUGAGCAAUACUGAGGUGAUGGUGGGAAUCCAUUACCACACACAAUUUUCUUUGCUAUCUUUGCUGAUGAUGAUGUUUAGCUUCUAAAUUUCAGAAUUUAUAGGAAAAGAUUAUCGAUGUAGGUCAGGGAGUUGAAAUGAAAGCCGUCUGAUGGAGAAAAGAAAAAAGGGUAACUGAAACGAAUGGCGGGUCUUCACAACCCCUUUUACAACUUAUCAUCCUAUUUACUCUUCUUUUCUUGUGGCAUAACAUUACGAAAACGAAUUUAGAUAUGUUUUAUAUUUUGUUCGAAGGAAAACGGAUAUAGAUGUGUCAGGUUCAACAAGUUUGGAAGUCCAUCGCCUACACCACACUUGCUGGUACUCUCUACUUGGAUAUGACUGUCGUGUCGUUAAUUACAAAUUUUCUAAACAAUGGAAUUGUUAUUGACACUCCAAAAUCGUCAUUGUCACAGAAGUCGGUUUCUCAUUUGUUUUUCACUAAUGAGAAAUACAGAGAUUUUUCUAUGGAAGGGCUGUGUAGUACCAAAUGAAAAUGCAUGCAUGAUCCGCGGAAGUCUUGGCACACCAAUUAGUCUUUGGUGGAAAAUCCAUAUGCAGCUAAGACUUUGAAUUGUGAGUCUUCUCGAGUGUCUGUUAGAGAGCUAGAGAGACAUAAUUCGAAUGUUUGUUCAACAACGCAGUGCAAGUAUACUUGUAAACGGAAUUUUUUGAAAUGUCCAAUGAACUUGUACACAUCCUUCAUUUUGUCAUAUAAACUAAAAUUUUAAGCAAUUUGUAUACCAAUUUCCCGAAAUCAUUAAUCUGUCAUCUCGCCAUAACUCUAUUAAGUUUUCUAUCUAAAAUAAGUCAUCUGCCUCCAUUCAAUUUGUCAUCUCAUCCUCACUCCGUUUAAUUUGUCAUCUCCGCCUAACUGAGGUGAUAGUGGUUGUCCAUUAUUACACACAAUUUUCUUUGCUAUGCUUUGUUGGAAAUGAUGUUUUUGUUUCCUACAAAUUGUAGACGUAGGUCGGGGAGUUGAAACAAAAGUCGUCUGAAAGAGAAAAGAAAAAAGGGCGGGUCUUCACAACCCAUUUUACAAGGUAGCAAGUCCAUUGUAGACACAGCUGGGACCUGGAGACUUCGAAUUAACGGUCUUCAUCAGCUGGGAACUGUUCUCUUCUUGUGGUGUAAAAUUAUGAAAACGGAUUUAGAAAUGUUUUAUAUUUUGUGCCAACGAAAAUGGAUAUAGAUGUGUCGGUAUGAACAAGUUUGCAAGUCCAUCGCCUACUCCUCACUUGCUGGUACUCUACUUGGAUAUGACUGUCGUGUCGUUAUUUACAAAUUUUCUAAAUAAUGGAAUUGUUAUUAACACUCCAAAAUUGUCAUUGUCACACUAGUCGCUUUCUUAUUUGUUUUUCACUAAUAGGAAACACUUAUUUUUCUAUGGAAUUUUCCGAAUUCUAAUGAAGCCGUGUAGGAGCAGAUGAUGACGAGUGCAUGCUGGAGAUGGCUAGCCAUGGAAGUGUUGGCCCUCCAAUUAGUCUUUGGUGGAAAAUCCAAAGUCUGUCGGAGAACAGAAAAUAUAUCAUAAUUACAUUAUAUUUUUUCAGUUAACAUCCCACAAUCCAAAGUCUUUGAAAGGGUAAUUCUAUUAACAUCCCACAAUCUUAUGAAUACACCCCAUAAUUUUAUUUUUUCAGUUAAAUUUCCAUUUUUACCCUGACUUGAAUUAAGUUCUAAAGUCCAAAAUAAACCCCAUCCACCCUCUUAUGCUGGUUGCCAACCACCAUCGUGUCAGGGCAAAAAAUCUCAACCACUCGCCAUGCUCUCUCUCUCUCUCUCUCUCUCUCUCUCUCUCUCUCUCUCUCUCUCUCUCUCUCUCUCUCUCUCUCUCUCUCUCUCUAUAUAUAUAUAUAUAUAUAUAUAUAUCCAAUAACCAACCACUUGCCGGUAGGUAAUAGGGAAUUGGGAGAUGGGGUGUGUGAAUCAAGAGUGUUGGGCAAUUCUCAGUCUGUUAGAGAGCCGGUCUUGGCUGUAAACUUCCGCGACGUGGGAGGUUUAUGGCUGUGUUGAUAUCGAUGACGGAUACCUCUUAUAUGGGUGGCCCAUGGCCGUCGAGCUAGCUUUUUUGCCGUCAUUUGUUUAUGGGGAUGGGGUGGCUUCAGAAAAAUGGAGGACAAAGCUGGAAUUUUAAAGGCACAUUUUAGAUGUGGGGUGUAUUCAUAAAGAUGUGGGGUGUUAAUAAAACAACCCUAGUUGAAAAUACUUAUCUUACAAAGCUUUUUUGGAAAGUGAUUUUUACACACAAAUUUUAAUUUGUCACACACUACUUUUUAUUUCUAACCAUUAAAUUGAAUAAAUCAAACAUAAUCAAUGGAUGUAUAAGGGCAUCUCCAGUGGAGUCUCUAAAUAAGGACAACCACCUUAUAAUGGGUAUAAAACAAAUAUAGGGACAAAAUGAAUCUCCAAUUUAUCGGAAAGUGAGUCCCCAAAGUAGAGGGACUCAUCAGAUACAUAGUUGUAUGUCUCACAUAUAGGGAUUAUAUAGAGAUGACCUUGAGUGAAAAACGGAACCCACAAUCUUAAUUGAAGCUUUUAAUGUUUUUAAUGCUUCUAAUUAAUUAAAAAAUGGUUAAUAUAAACAAAAAAAUGUGCACAUUGAGUGGAAAACGGGACUCACAAUCUUAAUUGAAGAUUUUAAUACUUUUAAUUAAUUAAAAAAAUGUUAACAUAAGCAAAAAAUGUGCACCUAAUCAAAUUAUCACAUAAAAUCAUAAAAACUUCAAAUUUAGAGAUUCUAUUAUAAGGAUUCUAUCAUUGAAGACAAUAUUUCUUUAGGGUCACAAAUAUUUCCUUUUAAGUCCUUAAAUGAGUACUCAAAAGUGGUGAUGAGAAUACCUAAAUAUGGACCUUCAUUGGAGAUACUGUGUGCAUUUAUUAUUUUUAUUUUUUCUUCCUUGAUUUUAUUCCAAAAUUAGGAAAUAGCUUCUGAAAAACUGAUUUCACACUUUUUUUGUCAUCUAUACUUUUGUUGGAUAGAUUCGUAGAAGGAAGCUUACCUUAAACGACGUCAUUUUGGAAAUAUCUCUUGCUCUUAUCGGAUUCUGAUCUCCAGAGAUGGAGGGGAAUGAGAACAGUUGACCGUUGUAGAGGUCUGAGUCACCUUGUUAAAUCGGCGGUCUUUAUUUUUGUUUUUUUUGAAAUAAACACGAUUUUACGUUACUACCCCUUUCCUCAUUUUCUUUGGUCAACGAUACCCCCUGCUUUCCUCAGUAUAUAUAUAUAUAUAUAUAUAGAUUUUAUUAUAUGAUUUAUAAGCACAAACUAGAAUUUUAAAUUAAUUCCAAGUUAAUACAUAAAUGUUUGUGGGAACAUUUAUUGAAAGAUAGAAUUCUUUUAUUCAAUACAAAAGUUCCAAGAAGUACCUUAAACCAAAUAGAAAGGAAACCACAAAUAUACAUAGUACAAUCAAACAUUAGAAAACAUUAUUCGGAAACGAGCCACUUUCAAUGCAAAUGCUAGUGCCAUCUUGUCUUUGAUGUAGUCGAAGAAUUGAAAUUAGGCAUACCUCCAUGUUGUUUUUAAGAUCAACGUGCCACACAUGCCUCAAAAGCCUACGAUGAACCAAGUACUACACUAACAUAAAACCACAACUUAUCAUCAUUUCUCACUUCAUUCUUGUCCCUUCCAUCCUUAGCUCACACACAGAAGGUCAUGAACACAUUCAUGUAACCUUGUUAAAAAAUAAAGCACAAAAAACCUCUUUAACGCCAAUUCAACAUCAAAUUAAAAGAAAAUACCGAGUCCUUUCUUUCAAAUUAACAUCAUCCAACAGCAAGCUCAAUCUUUACAUUCAAAAUUACAAUUUCUGUCGAGCCAUCAAAAUUGUUAUCCAGCCACAGCUACAUGCGAAAACUGCCAUUACGAGCCACUUUCGCAACCAACUUGGUCUCAAUCUAUAGCAGCAUUGCCAAUUUGCCAGAAGAUAUUAAGCUAUAGUAAGUUAAUUACAACUAUAUCAACAACCUCUGCACUUCCACAGAAGGAAGUAAAUCACUUACCUAAAUUGGCCCUAACCCUAAAGCUAAAGUAUAUCAACAACCUCUACACUUUACGAGCCACGGUCCUCUGCUUGGUCGCGUGCUGUACUACUUUUUCCUCUACAGGAAGCCCCUUCUUCCUUCUUACCGCGUUAAUUAGUUUCCUCGCAGUAUUGGGAAGCACACUAGAACCGUCACCAAACUCCUCAAGUUCUUCUUCUGUUUUCGGUACAAAAGAAAGGAUCCUCUAGAAGUGCUUCCCAGUGACUAAGCACAAGAAGAGCACUUGCAGCACCAGCAGUCUGUCUUCUAAGCUCAUCCGCAAAACCAAAGCUUUCAGGAACUGUAUGAGCAAAUGAAAAGGUACCAACAUUAUUUUAGAGGCAUCACCCCCUACAAUCCAAGAAGAGUUGCUUUUGACAUUGCUGACAUCGGCCAAUGCUCUUCUUCCCACAUUUUUAUUUGCUAAGAUAAGGACAACAAAAAUUUGAAAGGAACUGGUUCAAGAUGUGUAACACAACUUUGCAUAACAAGUACAGUCUGGUUCAACCUUACACGCCGAACUACAAAGUAUGCCUUUUCGCUUCUUCAUACUUUUCAAACCAGCCUUGAUAACAAAACAAUUUACAGAUAGAAAGCAGUAAAUAUAUAAUUAAAACAAAAACUGCUUAUCACAAGAAAUAACACUCCAUCCCAAUCCCCCUUAAAACAAGCAGUGGAAUAUGAAUGUCGUCGGUUACCUUUAAAGCAGCUGUAUUCUCCAGAGUCGAUACUUUGUUAACUGCUGCAUUACUCCUGAAAUAAAAGCAGCACACAGAUAUAAUUCCCCUUACAAUCUAGGUAAUUGCCAAGAACUUGCAGGAAGUGGGCAGAUACGGCUAAUAUCUAUUACUUUUAGGCCUCUACUUAGCUACAUCAUUGUAAUACAAAUCCCAGAUUUAAAUUCUGGAAUGAAGGCUUAGUUGAUUUCAGUUCUAAAACAACUAAGACGUUGAUUAAAACCAUAACAUUCGAUAAUUGAAAUGAAAUUGCACAAAUUUAAAACUAAAAUUACCUGAUCCCGCCAUCAGCUUUGGCAGUGUCACUUUCUGUGUAAACCUUAAAGCUUGAGCCACCAACUGUUUAAAAUAUUGAAAAAGAACGUCAAAAGUCAAUAAAUCACCACCAUAAGAAGUUUAAACCAGCAGAAGAGCCAAUAAUUUCUAGAAAAACCGAGAGAAUUUCAAUCAAUCAAGACAAAAUUCACGAGAAAGCAACUUCCACAAAAGAAACCCAUAAUUAGACGACAGUAAUUCAAAUUUAAAAACGCAGCCCUAGUUGAAUUUGAUUGUUUGAAGAAAUUCGAUUUUUCAAGAGGUACAUGGAGACGACAGAUUGUUGGAUAGAUUCAUAGAAGCAAGCGUACCUUAAACGACGUCAUUUUGGAGAUAUCUCUUGCUCUUCUCGGAUUCUGACGGAAAGGACUGAGAACAGUCCACCGUUGCAGAGGUCUGACACAUCUUGUUAAAUCAGCGGUUUUUAUAUAUUUCGCUUUUUGAAAGACUCAUCCAAUUCUCUUAUUUCUACAACAUAUUAAUAUUUUACCCAUCAUAAAAAAUUAAUAACUAAAAGCGUUAUUUUCUCAUCGACCAUUAUUUCUAAAAUAACCUCUAAUGUUUCCUUAAUUGUUAUGAUCCUAGCUGCACCAGAACCUCCUCCCACCUCCAUAGAAAACAAAAACCUUUGACACAUACUUGGCGGCAUCUCUUUUGGAAAGAGAGAGAAACGGAAGGGGGGACGAAGAGAGCAUAGGGGACAAAGAGAGAGAAAUACGGGGAGAUUGCUCCAAUACAAAGGCAGAUUGCUCCAAACCGAUUUAGUCCAAUUGGAAUUGGGUAUUUUUUCGAUUUUAAAAUUUGAGUUGUCGUCGUUGUUUGUCUGUGAGGAAGAGAAAGAGAGGGUAUAGGAGGUAGUACCGAAAUUGAAAGUGUCAUCUCCAGGGCACUUAGUUGAGAGAGGAACACCACAUAGCGAUGGAUUUCCCAUAUAAAUGGACGAAAAAUUGAGUGUUUGAAGCCGGUUUCCCUAAGGAAUUCUCCCAGACAAGUUGUUGUAAGACAAGUUCAAGUGGUUUAAAAAUGUUAAAGAUGACAAGCUUUGAGGAAUCUAUCCUGAAAGGUGGUUGUGUGAGAGAUCAAGAGUUUCGAGCAAAUGCAAGUUUCCGAUCUUGGAGGGGAUCUUUCCAGUCAAUUGAUUCCUGGACAAUUUCAAGGUACCCAAUAGAAUGAGGCUACUUAUUUCUUCAGGGAUUUCACCUUGUAAAUUAUUUGAUGAAAGAUCAAUGCUCUUUACAAG